UACAGAGGUCCCAAGCGUUGUUCGGAUUCAUUGGGCGUAAAGGGUGUGUAGGCGGCUUGUCACGUCGGGUGUGAAAGCCCGGGGCUUAACCCCGGGUCUGCAUUCGAUACGGGCUAGCUAGAGUGUGGUAGGGGAGAUCGGAAUUCCUGGUGUAGCGGUGAAAUGCGCAGAUAUCAGGAGGAACACCGGUGGCGAAGGCGGAUCUCUGGGCCAUUACUGACGCUGAGGAGCGAAAGCGUGGGGAGCGAACAGG
rnacentral:rRNA from 1 species